AUGAUUCGUGAAAGCAAAUUUUAUGGAAGAAAUGAGAUGCAGCUAGGACAAUGUAGGAUAUCUUCAAUCUAGGACACUAAAGACAAGAUGGGCUAGUUAUCAAAUUUGACCUACCCUAUAUCAUGCAGGAAUGUACAUGUACAUGGAUGUUUAAAAAAUUCCACAAAUGGUGAAGAAAAUGGCAAGGGAAGACGCCUGAUAAAUGUUUCAAGUAAAAUUCAGCAAUUGAGUUUCUGGAAAGCCAAGCAUACAUAACCAAAGGAUAUUUUCAUAGAAUGGACUUCUGUAGGCCAAAAAAAUAAAGACAACAUCAAGGAGAGUGACAUUUAGAAGAAAGAACAUUCAAUUGAUAAUGUUAUUAUGUCAACAACAAAAACAAAAAAAAGUUGAUUGUAACGUUUUGAGAAUG